ensembl:sense_intronic Gm42721 predicted gene 42721
CUUUGUUUUUAUUUGUUUUAAGAGUGAAAGAUUUUAUUUCACUCACACCAAAAAAAAAAAAAAUGCAUUGCAUACAGUGAGAGUUCCCAAGCAUUCCUCACUGUUUUCUCCAUGGUCAGUAUCUUACAUUAUUGGAUAGAAUAUCUAACUUAGUUAAGCAACGUUGCUAAAUUAUUGUGAUAAUGAUAAAAGCCAGAAACAGCAAGAACAUCUAACACCAGAGAUAACCAGAUGGCAAAAGGCAAAUACAAGAAUCUUACCAACAGAAACCAAGACUGUUUGUCAACAUCAGAACCCAGUUCUCCAACCACAGCAAGUCCAAGAUUCCCCAACACACCUGAAAAGCAAUAUGGGAUUGAAAAUCAUAUCUCAUGAUGCUGAUAGAGGAUUUCAAGGACAUAAAUAGCUCCCAUAAUAAAAUACAGGAGAACACAGGUAAAAAGGUAGAAGCCGUUAUAGAGGAAAUGCAAAAAUACUUUAAAGAAUUAGAGGAAAAUACAUUCAAACACGUGAAGAAAUUGAACAAAACCAUACAGGAUUAAUUGAAGUAGAAACAAUAAAGAAAUCACAAAGGGAGACAACUCUGGAAAUAGAAAACCUAGGAAAGAGAUCAGGAGCCAUCGAUGCAAGCAUAACAAACAGCAUACAAGAGAUAGAAGAGAGAAUCUCAGGUGCAGAAGAUACUAUAGAAAACAUUGACACAACAAUCAAAGAAAAUGCAAAAUGCAAAAAGAUCCUAACUCAAAACAUCCUGGCAAUCCAGGAUACAAUGAGAAGACCAAACCUAUGGAUAAUAGGUAUAGAAGAGAGCAAAGAUUCCCAACUUAAAAGGCCAGUAAAUAUCUUCAACAAAGUUAUAAAAGAAAAUUUCCCUAGCCUGAAGAAAGAGAUGACCAUGAACAUACAAGAAGCCUACAGAACACCAAAUAGAUUAGAUCAGAAAAGAAAUUCCUCCCGACACAUAAUAAUCAAAACACCAAAUGUACAAAACAAAGAAAGAAUAUUAAAAGCAAUAAGGGGAAAAGGUCAAGUAAGAUAUAAAGACAGACCUAUUAGAAUUACACCAGACUUCUUGCCAUAAACUAUGAAAGCCAAGAGAUCCUGGGCAGAAGUCAUACAGACCCUAGGAGAACACAUAGGCCAGGCUACUAUACCCAGCAAAACUCUCCAUAACCAUAGAUGGAGAAACCAAGAUAUUUCAUGACAAAAAGAAAUUUACACAAUAUAUCUCCACAAAUCCAGCCCUUAAAGGAUAAUAGAAAAUUCCAACACAAGGAGGGAAACUACGCUCUAAAAAAAGCAAGAAAGUAAUCUUUCAACAAACCUGAAAAAAAGAUAGCCACAUGAACAAAAAUUCCAACUCUAAUGACAAAAAUAACAGGAAGUAACAAUGACUUUUCCUUAAUAUCUCUUAUUAUCAAUGGACUCAAAUCCCCAAUAAAAAGACAUAGAUUAACAGACUGGUUACAUAAAAAAGGACCCAUAUAUGCUGCAUACAGGAAACCCACCACAGGGACAAAAACA